rnacentral:rRNA from 1 species
UUUGCACACUAUAUUAGGUAAUGCCUGCCCAGUGACCAUAUGUUCAACGGCCGCGGUAUUCUGACCGCGCGAAGGUAGCGUAAUCACUUGUCUUCUAAAUAAAGACUAGUAUGAACGGCCACACGAAGACUUAACUGUCUCCCCUGUCCAAUCAGUGAAACUGAUCUCCUCGUGCAGAAGCGAGGAUAAACACAUAAGACGAGAAGACCCUAUGGAGCUUUAAACUUAAUAUCAACUUCCCUCUUUUACCCCUCUAAGGAGCUGACAAGAUUACUAGACUCGAUAUAAGUUUUAGGUUGGGGCGACCAUGGAGAAAAAAACAACCUCCCUGAUGAUUUUUAACCAAGAGCCACAGCUCUAAGUAUUAGGACUCUUAACUCCCAUUGACCCAUUUUUUU